CACAAAUUCCAGCUACAAGGCAGAAACAUAAAAGAAUCUCUAUGUGGCUGCUUCAGUAAUAAAGUAAUUUGCUGAUAAAUUCAUCAGGAAAAGUGUACUACAGAGAACAGGAGAAUUCAGUUGAAGAUGAGGUCAUCCUCCUCCACUUUGAGGAAGGGAAGAGGAAGGAAUGCUGUCAGGAACUUCAGCUCUCACAGCUCCUGCCUAAAUACCAGACAGAGUGUGGAUGGCCUGGAUCUUAAGGAGUAGAAACUGUUCAGAUGCCCUUCAGCAAGUAAACAGGUGCAGUCAGUGCUAGUCUUUUCAUCCUUCCAUACUAUCCACAACAGUUCAGAGAGGUCUUGGGAGCACAGACUAUGUAGAAGACAGCGCUGACAUGGUAGUUAACAGCAAUAGCUGUAAGACAAAAAUGAAAACCAUCUGUAACCAACGCAGAGCAAGAGGAACAAGUAUGAGCUCAGAGAUUUUGAAUAUGCAUACGUGGAAUUUUAUCAUUAGCCAGUUGGUAGUGAAUAAUUGUCAAAAGUAGAGGUUAGU
ensembl:lncRNA